UAAACAGGAAUAUAAAAGUGUCCCACAUUUAUUUUGACGAAUUAUUAAAUAUACUCGGACUUCUAUUUUGAAAGGCGCUCUGUGACGCGCAUGCGCUGUCUCAAACGUCCACGUGAGAUUGUGAAGCGCAUUCCUCUCAAAUAUUCAUCUUCGCUAGUUCUGUGACAUAAUAAUUGUUAACAUUUAUUGUUCUUUGCGUUAAGUGGCCCAACAUUAAAUCUUUAAUAUUGUUUGUAAUAUUGUUUUUGGCAUGUUUGUCUGUUGUACCUGUUGUAAGCAGAGAUGUCUGGAUAAAAACACCACCACAGCAAAUAAAUAAAAAAGGACAAAAACCAAAACAUAAUGCCUAAAUCAGCAAAGAAACUGACUAAAAUGGAUCAUCAGAGUUCAGAUGAUGAAGAGGACGUUUAGAGAUGGAGAGAACUUUGCCUUUACUAAGUAAAAGGAGCACGAUAGAAACUUCAGCAGAGGAUGAAGAGGACUUGAGAGAUGAAGAUGCAUCUGCAGAGGAAGAUGAAGCACCUGAAGAGGAUGAAGACAAUGGCGUGGAUGAUGAAGAUGAGUCAGGGAGUGAUGAAGAUGAAGCAGAUAGUAACCAUGAAGAUGAAGGAGUCGGCAAUGUACAAUCACACACAGAAGGAAACCUUAAAAAAGCUGGAGAACUUCUUGAGUAAGAAGAGGAAACAUAAUGCCACCAAGGAUCGCAAAAAGUUGCAAAAUCAGCACAAAAAUCGCCAUAUAUGGACCAAUCUUGGCUCAUCUGUGGCACCUUGAGUUAAUUAUCUGUCUUAGUAUGACAUAAUGCAGAAGGACAUCUGCUGAAAAGUAAAUCCUGCUGGACUGUGAUGUUAAUAGAGGUCUUGGU